AACGAACGCUGGCGGCAGGCUUAACACAUGCAAGUCGAGCGCCCCGCAAGGGGAGCGGCAGACGGGUGAGUAACGCGUGGGAAUCUACCGUGCCCUACGGAAUAGCUCCGGGAAACUGGAAUUAAUACAGUAUACGAACUACGGGGGAAAGAUUUAUUGGGGUAUGAUGAGCCCGCGUUGGAUUAGCUAGUUGGUGGGGUAAAGGCCUACCAAGGCGACGAUCAAUAGCUGGUCUGAGAGGGUGAUCAGCCACAUUGGGACUGAGACACGGCCCAAACUCCUACGGGAGGCAGCAGUGGGGAAUAUUGGACAAUGGGCGCAAGCCUGAUCCAGCCAUGCCGCGUGAGUGAUGAAGGUCUUAGGAUUGUAAAGCUCUUUCACCGAUGAAGAUAAUGACGGUAGUCGGAGAAGAAGCCCCGGCUAACUUCGUGCCAGCAGCCGCGGUAAUAC
rnacentral:rRNA from 1 species